rnacentral:rRNA from 1 species
GAUGAACGCUGGCGGCGUGCUUAACACAUGCAAGUCGAACGGAAAGGCGCUGCUUUUGUUGGGUGCUCGAGUGGCGAACGGGUGAGUAACACGUGAGUAACCUGCCCUUUACUUUGUGAUAACUCCAGGAAACUGGGGCUAAUACCGGAUAGGAGCUCCUGAUGCAUGGGGGGCGAUGGAAAGUUUCGGCUGUUCGGGCUGGACUCGCGGCUUCUCAGCUUGUUGGUGGAGUAGUGGCUUACCAAGGCUUCGACGGCUAGCCGGCCUGAGAGGGUGACCAGCCACAUGAGGCCUGCGGUAGGGACCAGUAGCGUACGGGAGGCAGUGGGGGGAAGUAUUGCGCAACAGGGGGGAGUGAGUGACGGAGACCCUGGGUGCGGAAAGACGGCUUUCGGGGUAUGAACCGCUUUCGACUGUAACGAAGCGGGAGUGACGGUAACGGGUAAAGAAGCACCGGCUAACUACGUG